rfam:Strongyloides stercoralis strain PV0001 genome assembly, scaffold: SSTP_contig0000015
GCUCCAUUAGCUCAGUUGGAUAGAGCACUCGACUUCUAAUCGAGAGGUCCUCGGUUCGAGCCCGGGAUGGAGCU